CUUUAAACCCCCAUUUUAUAGCGGUUUAUGUUGCAGCAAUACGGUUAUUCGUUUUAGUUUUGUGCGCGUCACUGUCCGCUGCUCCUGACGCACCAAUUCAGCGCAUUUUCCAGCAGAGAUCAUUGUGAGAUCAUCGAUCGGGAGGAUGACAGCUCGAGUGUAUUGCUCGUUGAUUGCUGUUUUGUGUCUGUCUGGAUACUUGAGCAUUACAGACGCUACUCCAGGAAAAAACACAGCAAAGCCUGGAGAGUGUCCACCCCAAUCAUCUGGAAUAAAAUCGUGUACCACGUCCUGUAACCGUGACGCUAACUGUCCCAACAAUGAGAAGUGCUGCAGCAAUGGAUGUGGACGUUACUGUACGGCUCCAUAUAAAGUGAAGCUGGGUCAAUGUCCCCAACCGCAGAAGACCAAAGCAUGUGCUGAAAGCUGUUUCCAUGAUGGCCAGUGUCCUGCCACACAGAAAUGUUGCCCAACCACCUGUGGCCAUGCAUGCAGUGAACCACAUGGUCAGCGAAGUGGGCAGGGAAAUGGUGGGGGAAGUGGUCCAGGUCAGGGAAGUGGGCGGGGAAGUGGUCCAGGUCAGGGAAAUGGUCGGGGAAGUGGUCCAGGUAGGGGAAGUGGGCAGGGAAAUGGUCGGGGAAGUGGGGAAGUGGUCAAGGAAGUGGUUGGGAAAGUGGUCCUGGUUGGGGAAGUAGUCAAGGAAAUGGUCGGGGAAGUGGCCAUUGAAAUGGGCAUUUUGCAUAACACUUACUCGAGAUCUUUUCAAUUCAGUGCUUUAUUCAUAUGGCAUGUGUUCCAUGUUUGCUCAAACGGUUUCGAAAGAUUUUCUCUUUUCACCCCCCCCCUCCCAAAAUAAAAAAAAUAAUUGCUU